GAUGAACGCUGGCGGCGUGCCUAAUACAUGCAAGUCGAGCGAACAGAUGAGGAGCUUGCUCCUCUGACGUUAGCGGCGGACGGGUGAGUAACACGUGGAUAACCUACCUAUAAGACUGGGAUAACUUCGGGAAACCGGAGCUAAUACCGGAUAAUAUAUUGAACCGCAUGGUUCAAUAGUGAAAGACGGUUUUGCUGUCACUUAUAGAUGGAUCCGCGCCGCAUUAGCUAGUUGGUAAGGUAACGGCUUACCAAGGCAACGAUGCGUAGCCGACCUGAGAGGGUGAUCGGCCACACUGGGACUGAGACACGGUCCAGACUCCUACGGGAGGCAGCAGUAGGGAAUCUUCCGCAAUGGGCGAAAGCCUGACGGAGCAACGCCGCGUGAGUGAUGAAGGUCUUCGGAUCGUAAAACUCUGCUAUUAGGGAAGAACAAAUGUGUAAGUAACUAUGCACGUCUUGACGGUACCUAAUCAGAAAGCCACGGCUAACUACGUG
rnacentral:rRNA from 1 species